CCUACGGGAGGCAGCAGUGGGGAAUAUUGGGCAAUGGGCGCAAGCCUGACCCAGCAACGCCGCGUGAAGGAAGAAGGCUUUCGGGUUGUUAACUUCUUUUCUCCGGGACGAAGCAAGUCACGGUCCCUGAGGAAUGAGCCACGGCUAACGACGUGCCAGCAGCCGCGGAAAUACGUAGGGCGCAAGCGUUCUCCGGAUUUACUGGGGUAAAGGGCGUGUAGGCGGGCAAGCAAGUCAGAGGGGAAAACCAUGGGCUCAACCUGUGCCCUGCAUUUGAAACUGUUGUUCUUGAGUACUGGAGAGGCAGACGGAAUUCCUAGUGGAGCGGUGAAAUGCGUAGAUAUUAGGAGGAACACCAGUGGCGAAGGCGGUCUGCUGGACAGCAACUGACGCUGAGGCGCGAAAGCGUGGGGAGCAAACAGGAUUAGAUACCCUAGUAGUC
rnacentral:rRNA from 1 species